UACAGAGGUCCCAAGCGUUGUUCGGAUUCAUUGGGCGUAAAGGGUGCGUAGGUGGCGCUGUAAGUCGGGUGUGAAAUUUCGGAGCUUAACUCCGAAACUGCAUCCGAUACUGCGGUGCUCGAGGACUGGAGAGGAGACUGGAAUUCAUGGUGUAGCAGUGAAGUGCGUAGAGAUCAUGAGGAAGACCAGUGGCGAAGGCGGGUCUCUGGACAGUUCCUGACACUGAGGCACGAAGGCCAGGGGAGCAAACGGG
rnacentral:rRNA from 1 species